rnacentral:rRNA from 1 species
AGUGAACGCUGGCGGUAGGCCUAACACAUGCAAGUCGAACGGCAGCACAGUAAGAGCUUGCUCUUACGGGUGGCGAGUGGCGGACGGGUGAGGAAUACAUCGGAAUCUACUUUUUCGUGGGGGAUAACGUAGGGAAACUUACGCUAAUACCGCAUACGACCUACGGGUGAAAGCAGGGGAUCUUCGGACCUUGCGCGAUUGAAUGAGCCGAUGUCGGAUUAGCUAGUUGGCGGGGUAAAGGCCCACCAAGGCGACGAUCCGUAGCUGGUCUAAGAGGAUGGAUCGGCCACCCUGAAACUGAGAAAGGGUCCAGCUCCCUACGGGAGGCAGCAGUGGGGAUUAUUGGCAAAGGGGCGCAGGCAUAACCAACCCAAACGGCGUGGGUGAAGAAGGCCUUCGGGUUGUAAAGCCUUUUGUUGGGAAAGAAAAGCAGCAGGUUAAUACCCCGCUGUUCUGACGGUACCCAAAGAAUAAGCACCGGCUAACUUCGUG